GAUGAACGCUCGCGGCAGGCCUAACACAUGCAAGUCGAGGGGUAGAAGGAGCUUGCUCCUUUGAGACCGGCGCACGGGUGCGUAACGCGUAUGCAAUCUACCUUGUACAGGGGAAUAGCCCAGAGAAAUUUGGAUUAAUGCCCCAUAGUAUAUAACCUUCGCAUGUUGGUUAUAUUAAAGUUCCAACGGUACAAGAUGAGCAUGCGUCCCAUUAGUUAGUUGGUAAGGUAACGGCUUACCAAGACGAUGAUGGGUAGGGGUCCUGAGAGGGAGAUCCCCCACACUGGUACUGAGACACGGACCAGACUCCUACGGGAGGCAGCAGUGAGGAAUAUUGGUCAAUGGUCGCAAGACUGAACCAGCCAUGCCGCGUGCAGGAAGACGGUCCUAUGGAUUGUAAACUGCUUUUAUACAGGAAGAAGCCCUCCCACGUGUGGGAGCUUGACGGUACUGUAGGAAUAAGGAGCGGCUAACUCCGUG
rnacentral:rRNA from 1 species